GGCCGUAUCGUCUAUCGGUUUUAGGAUCCUUCCCUUUCACGGAAGAGAGCUGGGUUCGAUUCCCAGUACGGCUACCA
rnacentral:tRNA from 1 species